rnacentral:lncRNA from 1 species
AGUGGGCGGUGCGCAGGCGCAGCUGCUGCGGCUCCUGAAAUCCUCCGGUGUGAACUUCUCCCAGGGCUGUUGAUGCUUCAUCUACUCUUCUGGCAGUGGGGGCCUGGACCUUAGUUACCCGGGAAGCGUGAGUCAUGUUGCACAGUUGAGCUGGCACAUAAAACUACGAGUCACACCAGAAGAGGGCAUUGGAUCCCACUAUAGACUGUUGUGAGCCACCUUGUGGUUGCUGGGAAUUGAACUCAGGACCUCUGGAAGAGCAGUUGGUGCUCUUAACUGCUGAGUCAUCUCUCCAGCCCCAGCUCCUGCUUCCUGACCUGCUUGAGUUCCAGUCCUGACUUCUUUCAGUGAUGAACAGCAAUGUGGAAAUUUUAUAGAACAAGGAAUUGAAGCUUGGAGAAGAUUGAUGGACCACUCAAGUUCCCUGGAUGGUCCAGGAUGCAGACUGAGGAUGGCCUAAAACAUUAGUUUUGCUGGCUCCCUGUGCUUGGCUAACUUUAGAGCCUCUUACCUUGCCACAGUCUUUUCUAUGAAGGACAGAGAGCCAAGGAGUGGACCAACAUGCCUGAGUUUACACAGUGGACCUGAGGACCGUCACCUCCCAGUGCAAUGUUCCUGUGUACUGCCACUGAAGAGACAGGUGGGAGGGAGCUCAAGGUUGACUUGCCUAACAACCAUUGCUUGAAAGACAAAGCUCCCAAGGAGAGCACAAAAUACCUCACUCGAGACUCCUCUGCAUCACCAACCAGUGUGAAGAAAGCCUGCAGCUGUCAGCAGAGUAUUCUUUGUCUCGGUGACACGCUGUGCCUACAGUUGGACUAGAAACUUUGGAUUAGGGUGUGAGUCGUGCCCCAUAGGACAGAGGUGGUGCAUGUAGCCUCAUUUUGGAGUUUAUUUAGAGAGGAGAAAGAAUGUACCAUAGUCCCCAAAGGCUCUAGGUUACAGUGAAUUCUCUUUAGUUCAGUUAUAGUUUAGUUUAGCUUGGUUUGGUUAGCUGUGGUUCCGUUCUGUUCCGUUCUGUUCUGUUCGGUUCAGUUCGGUUCAGUUGCAGAGUUGUUGCUCUUUCAUGCUUUGCAUCCCAACUCCCUGCUCUCUCUUGGCUUUGGUUCCCAUCAGGUCCAGAAUAAAUGGCAAGGAGAGGGUCAUAGAACAAGUUAAACGAUGCUUUUUAUUGGCAGGAUUGGGACUAAAGAGAUCAGGAGUAAGACUGGGAAUAAGUAUGCCAACUUAGGGUGUGGGGUAAAAUAAAUAGUAACCGGUGAGGGUCUCCAACCCAAUGAGGUACCAUUUGCCUCAGUGUCUGGACCUGUUCAUCUUCUUUGCUUUGUGAUCCAGGAUAUGUGGCUUGCCACUAACUGAAAGAGGACUUCCAGGGGCUCUAACUGGGUACCAAAUACUCCAUCUUGCACAUGAGAGGUCCUUGGUCUUAGAGGUAUUCGAGCUGGUCUCUAAUGAGUCAUCUGAAGGGAGAAAACAAUUCAGAUGGGGCUGGUUCCUAGUGAGGGACUCCCCAGAGUUUAUAUCACCAAUGCGAUUAGAACUUCAAGACACACCUGAACGGAUGGAGCUGAGUCCCCAGAGGAAUAGCCCAUGCCUAGUGUCCCCAGCUCUCCCUUUCUCACCCCAGGAGAAUUAAAUUCCUCUGAAUAGGAGUCAGGAUCCCAGAGCUUCCUCACCCCCAGCAUCCUUCUGACAGCGUCCAGCCGGGCCUGGAUCCGUGGAGCCUCCUGUGGACACAGCAUCUGCAGCUCCCCAGGUCUCAUGUGAAGUAGCUGGCUUCCCAUUAGGGACCCGAGGGUCCUUACAGUGCUGUAAAUAACAAUGGUAGAAUCCACCAGAAGUAGGGUGGGCAGAUUCUAGGUCUUAGUAUUUGUGUAGAGAAGGAAAGUUGGGGUUACAGGAAUUAGGUAUCUGCAGGUACAGGGAUACACCUAGUGGUUUGGUCUCAGUGAACCACAGAACUCCGAGAUUUGAGGGCAGAAACACUUUAAAAAAGACUGGUCUGGAAGGGAAGGGUGGCUAAGGUGGGCAGCCCAAGUUCUUCCAGAAUUUGCUACCCUUGACUCUUUCUCUUUCACUACAUAUGGCCUCUGCACUGGGUGACCUACCCUAGGCUCAGACAAGCAGCUUUCAUUCAGCAGAGAAAGCCUAAGAUGGAGUCAUCAAGUACAGUGGAAGCUAGGUCACACUCUCUAACUCUGAGAGUGAAUGGAGCCUGUGGUUCUCCCAUUUACAGGGCUCACCGCCCCUCAUCCCCCAGGGGACUGGUCACUCACACAGUGGAGAAGUUCUCUGCUUGUAGCCAGGCUGUGACCUCCUCAGGCUUUGAGCUCAGGCGAAGCAUUGGGGCCUGGAAUCAAGGAGCACUAGAAGUCAGAGGUCAUCCCAUCUUACAAACAUACACAGCCUCCUGUAUUGGGUCCCUUCUACUGAGAUCCCAUCAGGAUGCUUAUCUCACCUUCUGGUUUCCUAGUUCGGCAGGGACGCUCACCUAAUCUUUGUUCAGACCCUAUAAUGAACUUGGCACCGAGGAAGCAUGCAAUGAUAUUGAUUAAACUGAACUAAGAUUGUC